CGGGAAUAUUGGACAAUGGGCGCAAGCCUGAUCCAGCAAUACCGCGUGUGUGAAGAAGGCCUGCGGGUUGUAAAGCACUUUCAGUUGGGAAGAUAAUGACGUUACCAACAGAAGAAGCACCGGCUAACUCCGUGCCAGCAGCCGCGGUAAUACGGAGGGUGCAAGCGUUAAUCGGAAUUACUGGGCGUAAAGCGUGCGUAGGCGGCCUGUUAAGUCAGAUGUGAAAGCCCCGGGCUUAACCUGGGAACUGCAUCUGAUACUGGGAGGCUAGAAUGUGGGAGAGGAGAGUGGAAUUUCCGGUGUAGCGGUGAAAUGCAUAGAGAUCGGAAGGAACACCAGUGGCGAAGGCGGCUCUCUGGACCAACAUUGACGCUGAGGCACGAAAGCGUGGGUAGCAAAC
rnacentral:rRNA from 1 species